rnacentral:rRNA from 1 species
GACGAACGCUGGCGGCGUGCUUAACACAUGCAAGUCGAACGAUGAAGCCGGAGCUUGCUCUGGUGAAUUAGUGGCGAACGGGUGAGUAACACGUGAGUAACCUGCCCUUGCCUCUGGGAUAACUGCGGGAAACUGUAGCUAAUACCGGAUACGACCCUCGGAGGCAUCUCCUGGGGGUGGAAAGAAUUUCGGUCAAGGAUGGACUCGCGGCCUAUCAGCUAGUUGGUGAGGUAACGGCUCACCAAGGCGACGACGGGUAGCCGGGCUGAGAUGGUGACCGGCCACACUGGGACUGAGACACGGCCCAGACUACUACGGGAGGCAGCAGUGGGGAAUAUUGCACAAUGGGCGCAAGCCUGAUGCAGCAACGCCGCGUGAGGGAUGACGGCCUUCGGGUUGUAAACCUCUUUUAGUAGGGAAGAAGCGAAAGUGACGGUACCUGCAGAAAAAGCACCGGCCAACUACGUGCCAGCCGCCGCGGUAA